rnacentral:sRNA from 1 species
GCCUCCAUGAGAAGAUGCAUUUGUAUACUCUUCUUGUGAUCCUGUUUCAGAUUGUUCAUUGGUCGAUGACUGUAACCAGUUUCUCCAGUAACGCUCCAACGUUUCUUCCUAUAUAAUUUCAAUGUCUAGAUUAUAUCUAAAAGCUUUAUACCUUUUA